rnacentral:rRNA from 1 species
GACAGAGGGUGCAAACGUUGCUCGGAAUUACCGGGCGUAAAGCGCGUGUAGGCGGACCCGCAAGUCGGACGUGAAAUCCCUGAGCUCAACUCAGGAACUGCAUCCGAAACUGCGGGUCUGGAGUGGUGGAGAGGGAAGCAGAAUUCCUGGUGUAGAGGUGAAAUUCGUAGAUAUCAGGAGGAACACCGGUGGCGAAGGCGGCUUCCUGGACACUUACUGACGCUGAGGCGCGAAAGCUAGGGGAGCAAACGGG